rnacentral:rRNA from 1 species
UACAGAGGGGGCAAGCGUUAUUCGGAAUUAUUGGGCGUAAAGGGCGCGUAGGCGGUUUUUUAAGUCGGAUGUGUAAUCCCCGGGCUUAACCUGGGAACUGCAUCCGAGACUGGAAGACUAGAGUACUGGAGAGGGUGGUGGAAUUCCUCGUGUAGCGGUGAAAUGCGUAGAUAUCGGGAAGAACACCAGUGGCGAAGGCGGCUCUCUGGACCAUUACUGACGCUGAGACGCGAAAGCGUGGGUAGCAAACAGGAUUAGAUACCCUAGUAGU